rnacentral:lncRNA from 1 species
AUGACUUUGUUUUCCAUUCCACAGAGAGGGGAGAUGCAUUUAAGAGAGCCCAGGAGCUGGUGGUCAUUCUACAAGGAAUGCCUGCCCUAUCAUACUCAAACAGCACAAAUGAAGUGGAAAAUAGAGAAGGAUCCUCCUUUGCCCCAGGGCAUGUUGCAGACAACCCAUCUUUGCCUCCUGAAAGGUCUUGCAGACUUCCCCAGACCUCCUCAGAAGACCCUGGCAUAUCAUCUUACAGAUGUGGCAUAGAAGCCUUGGUUGCAAAAUAUAUCCGGCAUGGCAGUUGGCAGUGUUGUGCAAUCUCCAUCAACUUACGGAAACCACUGCAUAUUAAAUCACCAAGGUCUGCCCAGGAGAAAUUGCUGCUGCUCCAUUACCCUGCUGUCAGCAUCCACCGCACUUGUGAGAAUCAGGUUCCACAUCAGAAAAUAAUAAAGGCAAUAUUAUGAGCAGAGGGGAGAGGAGAUUAAAAACCUGUUUAAAGAGCCUUCUGGUCCCUCUGCUGUUUAUUGCACUUCGUGACUUUGUGUUAUUUUUGUUGUCACUGAAGCUGGACUUUUAAUUUUCCUCUGAUCAUCAAGUGACUGGUUCAUAAUUUCCCUAUGGCCCCAAGGAUUAAAAUAGGUUGUUUUUAAAAAUACCUGUUGCUCCCCGAGAUCAGGUAGUGAUACUUUCUUUGCUAGUUGGAGUGCUAAUUAAAUACUUUAUUUAGCCCAAACACAGAUGUGGCGUGCACCGAGUCCAGCCCCAGGGUUGAGCCAGACUCACAGUGGCAGUGGAGGACUUGUGUCCCAGUGCUUGGCUAAUUCUGUUCUCCUUGGGAUCUUGCUGCCACUCUCAUGUUUAUCGAGGACUUUUUUUUUUUCUUUUCUUUCCCCCCGCUUCUUUUUUCCUUUGCUCCUUUUUCCUCUUUUUUAAUUUUUUUUAAUUUUUUUUUUUUUUUUUCCUGACAUGAUUUACUUUCUGGGGUGUUUCGGUCAAUUUUCACCUUUAAUGCCUUUAACUAAUGAGCCUGUUGAAUUUCACAGAAUCGUUUUCAUUCACUGACACAUUUGUGCUGUGGGUUGGCAGCACUAUAAAGGGAGGGUAUUUAAGUCCUCCAGCCAAAACUGCCAUCUCCUUCACCUUCAUGCCAAGUACUUUAUCUGUGAUAGGAUUUUUGUGGUGUUCUUUAAAUUAAUGGAUAACUACAUAUAUAAAUGCCAUGAGCUGCAAAGAAGUGCUGGGUGAUGGUUUUUGAGCCUGUGGGUGUGUAUGGGCCCGUGCAGCCCUGGCCCAGGAAAAUGCGAUGUCCAGCACAGACAUGUGGCCCUGCCUUGAUGGCAGUGCCCAUCUCUGCACUGCUGGGUCUGUGUUAUACUUACCCAGCCAGGAGGAUCAAGGCUACCUGGAGGGGUGUAACUCAUUUUAUUGCAGUGCAAGUCUGUGGCAAGCCUGGAGAGUUUCACU